UACGGAAGGGGCAAGCGUUGUUCGGAAUCAUUGGGCGUAAAGGGCGCGUAGGUGGCUCUGUGUGUCUACCGUGAAAGCGUACGGCUCAACCGUAUUUUGUCGGUAGAAACUGCAGGACUUGAGGCUGGGAGGGGCUGGUGGAAUUCCCUGUGUAGCGGUGAAAUGCGUAGAGAUGGGGGAGAACACUCGUGGCGAAGGCGGCCAGCUAGACCAGUUCUGACACUGAGGCGCGACAGCGUGGGGAGCAAACAGG
rnacentral:rRNA from 1 species